rnacentral:lncRNA from 1 species
GUUAAAUGGGGGAUUCCCAAAGAGAAAACGCGUGAUUUUCGGCUUAAAUGGGGGAUUCUCGAAGAGAAGACGCGUGAUUUUUGCUUAAGUGGGGGUUUCUCGAUGAGAAAACGCGUGAUUUUCACUUAAGUGGGGGAUUCUCAAAGAAAAAACGCGUGAUUUUCUCUUAAAUGGGGGAUUCUCGAAGAGAAAACGCGUGAUUUUCACUAAAAUGGGGGAUUCUCGAAGAGAAAACGCGUGAUUUUCGGGUUUAAAUGGGGGAUUUGUGAAGAGAAAAUGCGUGAUUUUUGGGUUAAAUGGGGGAUUGUCGAAGAGAAAACGCGUGAUUUUUGCUUAUAUGGGGAAUUUCCGAAGAGAAAACGCGUGAUUUUUUGGUUAAAUGGGGGAUUGUCGAAGAGAAAACGCGUGAUUUUUGCUUAAAUGGGGAAUUUCCGAAGAGAAAACGCGUGAUUUUUGGGUCAAAUGGGGGAUUCUCGAAGAGCAAAUGCGUGAUUUUUUCGCUUAAAUGGGGGAUUGUCGAAG